CAUAGCCGCACCUUUCCACCACCAUCACCACCUUGUGCAGCCACCAUUGGAGGAGGAAGAAGGAGUGCCGUGCAGCCCAAAGGAGGAAGACACCUUGCACAUGCAAUCUGCCAUUAGUGGAGUGUUUUGGAGUUCUUUCUUUCUUUGUUUCUGUUUUCAUGUUUAAUUUAACUUGCUUUUCAAUUAUGUUAAACAUGUGGAACUAAUUUCUUUUUUAGUUAGAGGUGAAUUUGAAGCCAUGGACAUAUGUGUUAUAUGAUUUGAUUUCUUCCAAUUAUGAUUUCAGAAAUUGUGAAUGUGAUUUACUUAUCUAUUUGAUUGAUAA
rnacentral:lncRNA from 1 species